rnacentral:rRNA from 1 species
CCUACGGGCGGCAGCAGUGGGGAAUAUUGGACAAUGGGCGAAAGCCUGAUCCAGCCAUGCCGCGUGUGUGAAGAAGGCCUUCGGGUUGUAAAGCACUUUCAGUGGGGAAGAAAGCCUUGGGGCUAAUACCCUCGAGGAAGGACAUCACCCACAGAAGAAGCACCGGCUAACUCCGUGCCAGCAGCCGCGGUAAUACGGAGGGUGCGAGCGUUAAUCGGAAUUACUGGGCGUAAAGCGCGCGUAGGCGGUCUGAUAAGCCGGUUGUGAAAGCCCCGGGCUCAACCUGGGAACGGCAUCCGGAACUGUCAGGCUAGAGUGCAGGAGAGGAAGGUAGAAUUCCCGGUGUAGCGGUGAAAUGUGUAGAGAUCGGGAGGAAUACCAGUGGCGAAGGCGGUCUUCUGGACUGACACUGACGCUGAGGUGCGAAAGCGUGGGUAGCAAACAGGAUUAGAUACCCUAGUAGUC